rnacentral:tRNA from 1 species
GCCCCCGUAAGCUAAUGGAUAAACUGCCUCUCUUCUAAUGAGGUCAUAGAGGUUCGAUUCCUCUCGGGGGUG